rnacentral:rRNA from 1 species
UCAGGUGGUUAUAGCACGAGGGUUCCACCUCUUCCCAUUCCGAACAGAGAAGUUAAGCCUCGUCACGCCGAUGGUACUGCGUAACAGUGGGAGAGUAGGUAG